UCGGUUUCUUGGUUCCGUCCCAAAACGCCGAAGAAAGGCACAAUGGCCUAGAAAGGGAUAGUCGGACUUGGAACGGGGUCCGAGGCCUCGAAAGUCCACAUCUAGCUACUGGGUGGUCCGAUUCUGAGUGAUCUCGAACUUUCUUGUCCACAAAAGCCGAACGGUGACGCCCCAGACUCGGUUUCUUGGUUCCGUCCCAAAACGCCGAAGAAAGGCACAAUGGCCUAGAAAGGGACGGUCGGACUUGGAACGGGGUCCGAGGCCUCGAAAGUCCACAUCAAGCUACUGGGUGGUCCGAUUCUGAGUGAUCUCGAAGUUUCUAGCCACAAAAGCCGAACGGUGACGCCCCAGACUCGGUUUUUUGGUUCCGUCCCAAAACGCCGAAGAAAGGCACAAUGGCCUAGAAAGGGACGGUCGGACAUGGAACGGGGUCCGAGGCGUCGAAAGUCCACAUCUAGCUACUGGGUGGUCCGAUUCCGAGUGAUCUCGAAGUUUCUUGCCCACAAAAGCCGAACGGUGCGCCCCAGACUCGGUUUCUUGGUUCCGUCCCGAAACGCCGAAGAAAGGCACAAUGGCCUCGAAAGGGACGGUCGGACUUGGAACGGGGUCUGAGGCCUCGAAAGUCCACAUCUAGCUACUUGGUGGUCCGAUUCUGAGUGAUCUCGAAGUUUCUUGCCCAGAAAAGCCGAACGGUGUCGCCCUAGACUCGGUUUCUUGGUUCCGUCCCAAAACGCCGAAGAAAGGCACAAUGGCCCAGUAAGGGACGGUCGGACUAGGAACGGGGUCCGAGGCCUCGAAAGUCCACAUCUAGCUACUGGGUGGUCCGAUUCUGAGUGAUCUCGAAGUUUCUUGCCCACAAAAGCCGAACGGUGACGCCCCAGACUCGGUUUCUUGGUUUUGUCCCAUAACGCCGAAGAAAGGCACAGUGGCCUAGAAAGGGACGGUCGGACUUGGAACGGGGUCCUAGGCCUCGAAAGUCCACAUCUAGCUACUUGAUGGUCCGAUUCUGAGUGAUCUCGAAGUUUCUUGGCCACAAAAGCCGAACGGUGACGCCCCAGACUCGGUUUCUUGGUUCCGUACCAAAACGCCGAAGAAAGGCACAGUGGCCUAGAAAGGGACGGUCGGACUUGGAACGGGGUCCGAGGCCUCGAAAGUCCACAUCUAGCUACUGGGUGGUCCGAUUCUGAGUUAUCUCGAAGUUUCUUGCGCACAAAAACCAAACGGUGACGCCCCAGACUCGGUUUCUUGGUUCCUUCCGAAAACGCCGAAGAAAGACACAAUGGCCUAGAAAGGGACGGUCGGACUUGGAACGCAGUCCGGGGCCUCGAAAGUCCACAUCUAGCUACUGGGUGGUCCGAUUCUGAGUGAUCUCGAAGUUUCUUGCCCACAAAAGCCGAACGGUGUCGCCCCAGACUCGGUUUCUUGGUUCCGUCCCAAAACGUCGAAGAAAGGCACAUUGGCCUAGAAAGGGACGGUCGGACUUGGAACGGUGUCCGAGGCCUCGAAAGUCCACAUCUAGCUACUCCGUGGUCCGAUUCUGAGUGAUCUCGAAGUUUCUUGCCCACAAAAGGCGAACGGUGACGCCCCAGACUCGGUUUCUUGGUUCCGUCCAAAAACGCCGAAGAAAGGGACAAUGGCCUAGAAAGGGACGGUCGGACUUGGAACGCGGUCCGAGGCCUCGAAAGUCCACAUCUAACUACCGGGUGGUCCGAUUCUGAGUGAUCUCGAAGUUUCUUGCCCACAAAAGCUGAACGGUGACGCCCCAAACUCGGUUUCUUGGUUCCGUCCCAAAACGCCGAAGAAAGGCACAAUUUCCUAGAAAGGGACGAUCGGACUUGGAACGGGUCCGAGGCCUCGAAAGUCCACAUCUAGCUACUGGGUGGUCCGAUUCUGAGUGAUCUCGAAGUUUCUUGCCCACAAAAGCCGAACGGUGACGCCCCAGACUCGGUUUCUUGGUUCCGUCCCAAAACGCUGAAGAAAGGCACAAUGGCCUAGAAAGGGACGGUCGGACUUGGAACGAGGUCCGAGGCCUCGAAAGUACACAUGUAGCUACUGGGUGGUCUGAUUCUUAGUGACCUUGAAGUUUCUUAACCACAAAAGCCGAACGGUGACGCCCCAGACUCGGUUUCUUGGUUCCCUCCCAAAACGCCGAAGAAAGGCACAAUGGCCUAGAAAGGGACGGUCGGACUUGGAACGGGGUCCGAAGCCUCGAAAGUCCACAUGUAGCUACUGGGUGGUCCGAUUCUUUGUGAUCUCGAAGUUUCUUGACCACAAAAGCCGAACGGUGACGCCCAGACUCGGUUUCUUGGUUCCGUCCCAAAACGCCGAAGAAAAGCACAAUGGCCUAGAAAGGGACGGUCGGACUUGGAACGGGGUCCGAGGCCUCGAAAGUCCACAUCUAGCUACUGGGUGGUCUGAUUCUUUGUGAUCUCGAAGUUUCUUGCCCACAAAAGCCGAACGGUGACGCCCAGACUCGGUUUCUUAGUUCCGUCCCAAAACGCCGAAGAAAGGCACAAUUUCCUAGAAAGGGACGGUCGGACUUGGAACGGGGUCCGAGGCCUCGAAAGUCCAUAUCUAGCUACUGGGUGGUCCGAUUCUGAGUGAUCUCGAAGUUUCUUGCCCACAAAAGCCGAACGGUGACGCCCGAGACUCGGUUUCUUGGUUCCGUCCCAAAACGCCGAAGAAAAGCACAAUGGCCUAGAAAGGGACGGUCGGACUUGGAACGGGGUCCGAGGCCUCGAAAGUCCACAUCUAGCUACUGGGUGGUCUGAUUCUUUGUGAUCUCGAAGUUUCUUGCCCACAAAAGCCGAACGGUGACGCCCCAGACUCGGUUUCUUGGUUCCGUCCCAAAACGCCGAAGAAAGGCACAAUGGACUAGAAAGAGACGGUCGGACUUGGAACGGGGUCCGAGGCCUCAAAAGUCCACAUCUAGCUACUGGGUGGUCCGAUUCUUUGUGAUCUCGAAGUUUCUUGCCCACAAAAGCCGAACGGUGACGCCCCAGACUCGGUUUCUUGGUUCCGUCACAAAACGCCGAAGAAAGGCACAAUGGCCUAGAAAGGGACGGUCGGACUUGGAACGGGGUCCGAGGCCUCGAAAGUCCACAUCUAGCUACUGGGUGGUCCGAUUCUUUGUGAUCUCGAAGUUUCUUGCCCACAAAAGCCGAACGGUGACGCCCCAGACUCGGUUUCUUGGUUCCAUCCCAAAACGCGGAAGAAAGGCACAAUGGCCUAGAAAGGGACGGUCGGACUUGGAACGGGGUCCGUUGCCUCGAAAGUCCACAUCUAGCUACUGGGUGGUCCGAUUCUGAGUGAUCUCGAAGUUUCUUGCCCACAAAAGCCGAACGGUGACGCCUAGACUCGGUUUCUUGGUUUCGUCCCAAAACGCCGAAGAAAGGCACAGUGGCCUAGAAAGGGACGGUCGGACUUGGAACGGGGUCUGAGGCCUCGAAAGUCCACAUCUAGCUACUGGGUGGUCCGAUUCUUUGUGAUCUCGAAGUUUCUUGCCCACAAAAGCCGAACGGUGACGCCCAGACUCGGUUUCUUGGUUCCGUCCCAAAACGCCGAAAAAAGGCACAAUGGCCUAGAAAGGGACGGUCGGACUUGGAACGGGGUCCGAGGCCUCGAAAGUCCACAUCUAGCUACUGGUGGUCCGAUUCUUUGUGAUCUGGAAGUUUCUUGCCCACAAAAGCCGAACGGUGAUGCCCGAGACUCGGUUUCUUGGUUCCGUCCCAAAACGCCGAAGAAAGGCACAAUGGCCUAGAAAUGGACGGUCCGACUCGGAACGGGGUCCGAGGCCUCGAAAGUCCACAUCUAGCUACUGGGUGGUUCGAUUCAGAGUGAUCUCGAAGUUUCUUGCUCACAAAAGCCGAACGGUGACACCCCAGACUCGGUUUCUUGGUUCCGUCCCAAAACGCCGAAGAAAGGCACAAUGGCCUAGAAAGGGACGAUCGGACUUGGAACGGGGUCCGAGGCCUCGAUAGUCCACAUCUAGCUACUAGGUGGUCCGAUUCUUUGUGAUCUUGAAGUUUCUUGCCCACAAAAGCCGAACGGUGACGCCCCAGACUCGGUUUCUUGGUUUCGUCCCAAAACGCCGAAGAAAGGCACAAUGGCCUAGAAAGGGACGGUCGGACUUGGAACGGGGUCCGAGGCCUCGAAAGUCCACAUCUAGCUACUGGGUGGUCCGAUUCUUUGUGAUCUCGAAGUUUCUUGCACACAAAAGCCGAACGGUGACGCCCCAGACUCGGUUUCUUGGUUCCGUCCCAAAACGCCGAAGAAAGGCACAAUGGCCUAGAAAGGGACGGUCGGACUCGGAACGGGGUCCGAGGCCUCGAAAGUCCACAUCUAGCGACUGGGUGGUCCGAUUCAGAGUGAUCUCGAAGUUUCUUGCCCACAAAAGCCAAACGGUGACUCCCCAGACUCGGUUUCUUGGUUCCGUCCCAAAACGCCGAAGAAAGGCACAAUGGCUUAGAAAGGGACGGUCGGACUUGGAACGGGGUCCGAGGCCUCGAAAGUCCACAUCUAGCUACUGGGUGGUCCGAUUCUUUGUGAUCUCGAAGUUUCUUGCCCACAAAAGCCGAACGGUGACGCCCGAGACUCGGUUUCUUGGUUCCGUCCCAAAACGCCGAAGAAAGGCACAAUGGCCUAGAAAGGGACGGUCGGACUUGGAACGGGGUCCGAGGCCUCGAAAGUCCACAUCUAGCGACUGGGUGGUCCAAUUCAGAGUGAUCUCGAAGUUUCUUGCCCACAAAAGCCGAACGGUGACGCCCCAGACUCGGUUUCUUGGUUCCGUCCCAAAACGCCGAAGAAAGGCACAAUGGCCUAGAAAGGGACGGUUGGACUUGGAACGGGGUCCGAGGCCUCGAAAGUCCACAUCUAGCUACUAGGUGGUCCGAUUCUUUGUGAUCUUGAAGUUUCUUGCCCACAAAAGCCUAACGGUGACGCCCCAGACUCGGUUUCUUGGUUUCGUCCCAAAACGCCGAAGAAAGGCACAAUGGCCUAGAAAGGGACGGUCGGACUUGGAACGGGGUCCGAGGCCUCGAAAGUCCACAUCUAGCUACUGGGUGGUCCGAUUCUUUGUGAUCUCGAAGUUUCUUGCCCACAAAAGCCGAACGGUGACGCCCAGACUCGGUUUCUUGGUUCCGUCCCAAAACGCCGAAGAAAGGCACAAUGGCCUAGAAAGGGACGGUCGGACUCGGAACGAGGUCCGAGGACUCGAAAGUCCACAUCUAGCUACUGAGUGGUCCGAUUCUGAGUGAUCUCGAAGUUUCUUGCCCACAAAAGCCGAACGGUGAC
rnacentral:lncRNA from 1 species